AAAGAAAUCAUAGGGGAGUAACUAGCGGUUUAACCGCGGCAAUGUCACCAACAAGAAAGUUCUUUUUCUGGUAUUGCCUUAAAUAGUGAGACUUAUGUAUGUUCA
rnacentral:misc_RNA from 1 species